rnacentral:misc_RNA from 1 species
AAUUCUUUUCUCCAUUGGAAACUUGACCAGCUUAUCCCUUUAUGAAAACAAACUCUCUGGUUUGAUUCCUCAAGAAGUUGGAAAUUUGGUAUUCCUUUCUGAAUUUGAAUUGUCAAGUAAUGAUCUCACUGAUACAAUGCAUGCUUCUAUAUGAUAGUUUUUAGUGAUCAUACGAGAUAAAUCAUUGAACCAGAAUACCCA